GGGACAGUGGGAAGAUAGGGGUGGUGCUGGUCGGGUGUCUCGCAGGGUGGAGGGGGGCAGCAGGGCCGUUCACGCCACGGCCGGAGGUGUCGUCGCCAGCGUACAAAAAUCCUGAGACUUGGGGGUGGUUCGAUCAGGCAAGGUCUCCUUCGUCUACCAGUGGAAGGGGGUACUGGAAUCUCUGAAGCUCCAAUCCGUCUGUCUGCUCCCCAACAGAAAAUGUUCCCUAGGUUGAGGAUUCAAAAUCACUCCCUCUGUUUUUAUUUUUCGUUUAAUUUCC
rnacentral:misc_RNA from 1 species